GACGAACGCUGGCGGCGGGCUUAACACAUGCAAGUCGAACGGAAAGGCCCUGCUUUUGUGGGGUGCUCGAGUGGCGAACGUGUGAGUAACACGUGAGUAACCUGCCCUUGACUUUGGUAUAACUUCAGGAAACUGGGGCUAAUACCGGAUAGGAGCGCCUGCUGCAGGGUGGGGGUUGGAAAGUUUCGGCGGUUGGGGAUGGACUCGCGGCUUAUCAGCUUGUUGGUGGGGUAGUGGCUUACCAAGGCUUUGACGGGUAGCCGGCCUGAGAGGGUGACCGGCCACAUUGGGACUGAGAUACGGCCCAGACUCCUACGGGAGGCAGCAGUGGGGAAUAUUGCACAAUGGGCGGAAGCCUGAUGCAGCAACGCCGCGUGCGGGAUGACGGCCUUCGGGUUGUAAACCGCUUUCGCCUGUGACGAAGCGUGAGUGACGGUAAUGGGUAAAGAAGCACCGGCUAAGUACGUG
rnacentral:rRNA from 1 species